UACGGAGGGUGCAAGCGUUAAUCGGAAUUACUGGGCGUAAAGCGUGCGCAGGCGGUUUGUUAAGUCUGUUGUGAAAUCCCCGAGCUCAACUCCGGAACGGCCCUGGGGACUUAUGGUCUGGAGGCAGGCAGAGGAGAGUGGAAUUCCUGGUGUAGCGGUGGAAUGCGUAGAGAUCAGGAAGAACACCCAUGGCGAAGGCAGCUCUCUGGGCCUGUACUGACGCUGAGACGCGAAAGCGUGGGGAGCGAACAGG
rnacentral:rRNA from 1 species